rnacentral:lncRNA from 1 species
GUCGGCAGUCAGUAGUAACAAACCUCUCUUGGUGGGCAGGCAGUCGGACGCUCAGCAGGACUGGCAAAACAGAAUAUCUGUGUGUCAGUGUACGUUUUAUUCAUCUGUCGUUUGGGUCAGGGUCUGCGGGGCAGAUCCCCGCAGCUAAUGCCCUCUUGUGAGCAGCAAUACCUCACUUUUUAUCAGCCUCUGGCUGCAGAAGAGCAGGACCACAAUCCUGGAGGCUCAGCAAACAUCCCAUCAAUGGUGGAAAAUGUUUCCUCUUCGUCCCACAUGGAGUUUACAGAUGAUGGGUUUCCAACUUCCAGAAGAGGAACCAGCUGAAGAGAACAUCCCACUCCCCGCUCCCCACCACAAAAAAAAGAUUCAGAGGGUACAUACGCAGGUUUGUUACCUGAGUAGACUUCCUGAUGCUGAGGUUUGGAGUACAACUGAUGCCGUCACUCAGGUACAGAGCAAAACAGGUUGGAGUGCAGUGGCGCGAUCUUGGCUCACUGAAACCUCUGACUCCUGGAUUCAAGCAAUUCUCCUGCCUCAGCCUCCAGAGUAGCUGGGAUUACAAGAGCCCACCACCAUGCCUGGCUAAUUUUUGUAUUUUUAGUAGAAAUGGGGUUUUGCCAUGUUGGCCAGGCUGGUCUCGAAUUCCUGAGCUCAGGUGAUCCACCUGCCUUGACUUCCCAAAGUGCUGGGAUUACAGGCGGGAGCCCUCGGUGUCCAGCCUAGAAUAUCCUCAAAUCCUUCCACAGUGACCCCAGUUUUUAUUUCUACCUUUCUGCAUUCUACAUUUUCUUUGUACUUUUCUUGAGCACACAUUCAGUCUGGUAUUAGUAACUUCCACCUGCAUUAGCCCCGUUUCUUCAGAAAAUACUAAAUGUGCAGUCCCACAGAAGCAGGAGUAAGUGAAAGAGAAACAAAGUGGUGAAGAGGGGAGAGAAACCUCACAGGGUAGGUUCCUGUAUGGCCAGAGUCUGGGACAAGCCAAUUUCGUGAUUUCACAGGAUGCCUUCAGAGAGAACAUUAGAAGUUACUGUGAAAGGGGAGAAGAGGGAAUAAGUUUAUCCACUAAUUUCUGUUUCCCAUUAGUUAGAGGUCACUCCCAUGAGGCUUUACUAUGCCUGCACUUCUCCAUUACACAAAAGUGGACCCAAAGCAAAUCCAACUGUAUGUCAUACCUCAGUGGCAAUAAAAAAGCCCCAGGACAUGUGACCAGAGAUGCGGUCAGGUUGUACCCACAAGUGACAAGAGGCAGUGGUCUCCACUGGUGCAGCGGAUCCUUUAGUUUGUAGUGACAGCAACAGCAGCAACAGUGCUCUGGUUCCAUGACCACAGGAGGAGCACAGGCAGUUUGCUUCUAGAACAGCUCUAGACAGAGUGGGGUGAGGAGACUGGCCUGGCUUGCUUAGGGAGCUAAAUACUGUACCGUACCUCUGUUGUGAGAAUUCAAAGUGCCUAUGCAGGUAAAGCAGCUUGGGCAGUACAGAGAACACAUAGCAAAUGUUAGCUACUAUUAACCUUGUAUUGCAUCUUAUUUUCUCAAAUAAAAUUUAAGCUUUAAUGGCUUACAUAAU